rnacentral:misc_RNA from 1 species
AGCAAAAGGUCCUCUUUAUUUGGACGAGUUUGAAAAGUUCCCAAUUGAAGGUAAUGAAGAACCUGAAGAUUUUGAAGAGCACUUACGCCAACUCUCUCUGGAAUCGAAAAAGGCAGACUCGUUGGAGAAAGAUUUGGACUCACCGUCUCUAGACGAGAUUGACAGGAUGUUUCUUCGUGCUGCUUCUCUUUUAAAGCAAAAGAAGAGAUAGGAGAUGUGCGAAAUUGCGAUACCCAUCAUUUUGGUUGAAAUAUUAAACUGCCCAAUUUCAUCGUUAUUUCAAAUUUGGACUGUUGUCAUAUGGGAUUUCAAAUACAACUUGGCACAUUUCAGAAGCCUCCCAUUUAGGAAACCAAAUACGCG